rnacentral:rRNA from 1 species
UAAUACAUCGGAACGUGCCCCGUAGUGGGGGAUAACUAGUCGAAAGAUUAGCUAAUACCGCAUACGACCUGAGGGUGAAAGUGGGGGACCGCAAGGCCUCAUGCUAUAGGAGCGGCCGAUGUCUGAUUAGCUAGUUGGUGAGGUAAAGGCUCACCAAGGCGACGAUCAGUAGCUGGUCUGAGAGGACGAUCAGCCACACUGGGACUGAGACACGGCCCAG